UGUAAACCUCUUUCAGUAGGGAAGAAGCGAAAGUGACGGUACCUGCAGAAGAAGCGCCGGCUAACUACGUGCCAGCAGCCGCGGUAAUACGUAGGGCGCAAGCGUUAUCCGGAAUUAUUGGGCGUAAAGAGCUCGUAGGCGGUUUGUCGCGUCUGCCGUGAAAGUCCGGGGCUCAACUCCGGAUCUGCGGUGGGUACGGGCAGACUAGAGUGAUGUAGGGGAGACUGGAAUUCCUGGUGUAGCGGUGAAAUGCGCAGAUAUCAGGAGGAACACCGAUGGCGAAGGCAGGUCUCUGGGCAUUAACUGACGCUGAGGAGCGAAAGCAUGGGGAGCGAACAGGAUUAGAUACCCUGGUAGUCCAUGCCGUAAACGUUGGGCACUAGGUGUGGGGGACAUUCCACGUUUUCCGCGCCGUAGCUAACGCAUUAAGUGCCCCGCCUGGGGAGUACGGCCGCAAGGCUAAAACUCAAAGGAAUUGACGGGGGCCCGCACAAGCGGCGGAGCAUGCGGAUUAAUUCGAUGCAACGCGAAGAACCUUACCAAGGCUUGACAUGAACCGGAAAUACCUGGAGACAGGUGCCCCGCUUGCGGUCGGUUUACAGGUGGUGCAUGGUUGUCGUCAGCUCGUGUCGUGAGAUGUUGGGUUAAGUCCCGCAACGAGCGCAACCCUCGUUCUAUGUUGCCAGCACGUGAUGGUGGGGACUCAUAGGAGACUGCCGGGGUCAACUCGGAGGAAGGUGGGGACGACGUCAAAUCAUCAUGCCCCUUAUGUCUUGGGCUUCACGCAUGCUACAAUGGCCGGUACAAAGGGUUGCGAUACUGUGAGGUGGAGCUAAUCCCAAAAAGCCGGUCUCAGUUCGGAUUGGGGUCUGCAACUCGACCCCAUGAAGUCGGAGUCGCUAGUAAUCGCAGAUCAGCAACGCUGCGGUGAAUACGUUCCCGGGCCUUGUACACACCGCCCGUCAAGUCACGAAAGUUGGUAACACCCGAAGCCGGUGGCCUAACCCCUUGUGGGAGGGAGCUGUCGA
rnacentral:rRNA from 1 species